GGAAUCCCAUCUGGCAAGGUGCCAACCACACCACCAGUAGCGAACCUUGAGUCUGUAUUGGUAACAAUAUCAGACUAAGCGUAGGAAGUUAGGUAGUAGGGCUACAGGGCGAAUUUAGCACCGAAAUCACAGGUUCAGUGUGCCGACGUUGUUUACUGUGCGGAAGGCAAUAUGUGUGAAUAUCGUUAUGGUGAGAUUUCACACAACACUGCGGUGUUGGAACGCC
rfam:Lachnospiraceae bacterium M18-1 genomic scaffold acPFy-supercont1.4, whole genome shotgun sequence.